rnacentral:rRNA from 1 species
UACAGAGGUCCCAAGCGUUGUUCGGAUUCACUGGGCGUAAAGGGUGCGUAGGUGGUGAGGUAAGUCGGAUGUGAAAUCUCCGAGCUCAACUCGGAAACUGCAUUGGAAACUACCUUGCUCGAGGGUUGGAGGGGGGACUGGAAUGCUUGGUGUAGCAGUGAAAUGCGUAGAUAUCAAGCGGAACACCAGUGGCGAAGGCGAGUCCCUGGACAACUCCUGACACUGAGGCACGAAAGCGUGGGGAGCAAACAGG